rnacentral:rRNA from 1 species
UACGUAGGGUGCAAGCGUUAAUCGGAAUUACUGGGCGUAAAGCGUGCGCAGGCGGUUUAUGAAGCAGAGUGUGAAAUCCCCGGGCUUAACCUGGGAAUGGCAUUUGGGACUGCAAGGCUGGAGUGCGGCAGAGGAGACUGGAAUUCCUGGUGUAGCAGUGAAAUGCGUAGAUAUCAGGAGGAAUACCGAUGGCGAAGGCAGGUCUCUGGGCUGACACUGACGCUCAUGCACGAAAGCGUGGGGAGCAAACAGG